AAAAUAUGAUUUCUCAUUUAAACGUAUUUUGUUCAGUUUGACCAAAAGCAAAAACAACUACCAAGAAAAAAACUUAACAGAAAUAAUUUUGCUUAAAUAAUUUUUUUACUUUAAGUCAGAUAGUUUAAUGUCACGUGACCUCGUGACGUCGGGACAAGUACCUUCUCCUUGAGUUUUUCUGUCAGCCAUUUUACUUCGCGCCGACUGCCAAGUUCAUCUGACCCACAGGACAACUGGUUUAAUUAAGGUUUGAUCUUGAGCUCUUUUGCUGAAAAUUUACAUCCAUCUCUUCUAAAUUUGAUCAAUCAUGAAUUCCUGAGAAUUACAACUGUUCCACUUCAACCACAGUUCCUGGCUUGGACAAGCACCACAGCAAGCUGAUUGAGCUAUUCAGAAAGAAGGGAGGAGAGAGAAGACACACCGACAAACGUCCUGAAAGUUCUGGAUCAGAGCCUCGAGGUGAGCCUGAAAAGAGAAUGUCUGCUAAAGUGCCUCAUCGAUUACCUGGGGGAAGACGUGGACAGUCUUAUCAAGGAAUACUUGGUAAGUAGUUAUGCAUGUAAACAUGUUAAGCUUUAUGUAAGAUAAAACAAUUAAUAUUUUAAUUUGACUGUUUACAUAAAUUACCUCAGGUCCAAAAAAUAAAACCUUUCCUACAUUCCUGUUACAUUUCAUGUGAUUAGCAUUCACUGUACCCUGGUCAUUAUUCACCAGGAUAGUUUAUUAUGUGUAAUACAACUAAGAUAUCUGUGCUGGUGUUUGUUUAAAGUUUGUAUAUAGACUGACAUGCAAAAUUCAUAGGAUAGCAUUAUGUAAUUUCUUCAUGUAGUCUUAGAUAUUGGCUUGGAACAUUGGCCAGUGUGGUUAAGUCAACACAGUUGUUUAUCAAAUAUUGUCUAUUUUUACUCAGACAAAGACCACUGCAGAUGUACUUCAUUACUUGUGCAACAUUCUGGUCUAAUCUUGAUUUUUUAAUUUUAGAAACAAAUAGUGUAACAUGGGUCAGACAAAAGUGUAAAGGCUUAACUAGCUGUGCCUUCUCAGACUCUUGGCCUUGGUUGGCUAAAGCGUAAUCGGACAGUCAAUCAAAAUAUAUAUAUAUAUAUUUUUAUCAGGCUUCUCAGAAGAAGGAAGCUGAGACGGAGCUGAAGGAAUCUACAGUAGCAGUGUUUGUCAUCAGGGAGGAUGAAGACCCUCUCCAAUCGCCACAUGAAAUUGGGAUUGUACUUGAAGGUGUGGAUGUUCAUGAGUUGCCAUCAGUAGCACAUUCAUUUACAAUGCUGUUUGGCCUCAUCACUGCUGUGAACUAUCCUGUGAGUUAUCCAAGUAAGCUGAAAUACACCUUUUGUAAAUAUUCAUGGACAUGGAAGCAAAGAAAAUGACACGCAAAGUGUGCAGUCUUAGUGUGCAGCUUUAAAUAUUCUCUCUCACUCGCCCUGUCUUGCUCUCUCUAUGUUCAAAAGGUGUACAGUAUUUUUGCACUUCUAAAUGUUUGAAUACUGAAGAAGAAAUGUAUAAACCAUUUUUGUUAAACCACCUUGUUAAACAUUAAAAAGGCCAUAACACACUACCUUUUAUGUGAAUGUUUAACAUAAAUACAGCCAUAUUGGCCUUUCGUUAGAAAGGCAGUAUAUUUUUUGUUUUUGAUUAUUUUAUUUGUUUUCAGGCUUACUGUAAUACUGGUGCAUAUUUCACUACAAUAAGUCACUACAAUAAACAUGGUAUUUUACUCUCUA